rnacentral:tRNA from 1 species
GCCUCGUUGGCGCAGUAGGCAGCGCGUCAGUCUCAUAAUCUGAAGGCUGUGAGUCAGACCCUCACACGGGGCA